AUGGCUGAGGCUUUGCGCAGAGGGAAAGUGGGGUCAGAGGAUUUAGAAAUAUUUAAAGAUAAAGUUUUUAGGGAAGGGAAGCCUAAACAAUGAUAUUUUGUUAUUUCAAUUGUUAGAAUUUCUGUGGGAGGAUAUGAGAAGAAACAAAGCCUGUUUGCCAAGGUUGUAUAACUGGAGAAGCUGUUUUAUUCUUCUUUCCCAGAAAAUGAAUUCUCCGCAGGCGUCGUGCACUGAUUUCCUUCUGAUGUUUCUUGCGAGUCUGAAGACGUCUUGCCACUUUUAAACACAAGAACACAAGGAGUGUCUCUACGGUACAGCGGAUAUCCUCUUCACUUUCCUUUUUGAGGAGAAACCUCCAACAUGGCACCAGGAAGUUUGACCCUCCAGACUUGUUUGGUUUAGAGCACUUCAGAGGGCCUCAGGAUAAAUCGUGUCUCCUGAAAAAAAGCAUGGGUAUUUGACGACAUGGAACAAUCCACUCUCUUUCUCCAGAAUGACUGACCCCACCUUUAAAGGCCCAGUGUGUGGGAUUUAGUGGUGAAGUAGCAACCGCUCGCAUCUGUAUUUGACAACCUGGGAAUGAGAACGUGUGUCAGAGAAACUACAGUGACUGCAAAACCCGCAAAAAGUGCCCUAUUUAUAGCCAGUGUUUGGUCUGAAGGAUUUCAUAUAAGAAAUAUGCAAUGUUACUUCUGCUGAUGUAAACAUUUUCCAAGCUCAUCACCCUCGGCCAUCCCUCUUUCCUCUUCCCUUCGGUUGCCACAAUCAGCACGUGUGUGUCCAGAGCCCGAGGUGUAAGGCUAAACCUGUGCUAACACCAAACAGCUAAUAGGUUCAUCCAUCAUGAAGGAAAUGAGACUCUCCCCCGCUCUCUCUCUCUCUCUCUCUCUCUCGGCCCUGUCUCGCUCAGCCAACUCUCGAGCCCAGACACACUCACACACUUACAGGCAAAAUUACUGCAAAGUUCUCCACCAGGGUAUCCUUUCUUUAUUAUUCUAAGUGAACAAGGGGGCCCUUCAUAGUCAACGUAAUUUAUCCAGUGUCUCAUUUCGGAUAAAAAAGCUAAAAAAUGAAGCGAAGGGAGCGAGAAGGUCGUUGUGGUUAGAAACCUCCAAACCUCAGGCCUUCCUGAGUGGCCUGAGCGUGGAACCGAGGCCAGAGGGUCAUGAGGAGGCCCAUUCAGUCCUGGCUCUGUUUUGACAUGGGCAAAAACACUGAUCCAUCAGUAGGACCAUUUACAAACCCUUGCAUUCCUACACUUUGUUCCCGUCACUUCUUAAUAAAUUUCUGGCCUGUUGUUUCAGAAUAUUAAGUGACGGCACUAAAAACAUCUUGAACAUCUUAUUUUCUUAACACAAUGUUAAAGCAAAUGGCAGAAAAUGUACAGGAUAUUUUAAGGAGGGCAUCUUAGAGUCGAUUGAUGCUUCUUCAAUGCAACUGAUGAUACUAAAACUUGUGGUGCCUGAGGAAACAUUGUGUAAUAAAACAAAAUGUUUACAGCGAUGGUGGGAGCCUCACAUAAAAAGUUUGGGCUGUUUAGCCAAAUCCAGUUCAGUGUACUUAUUUAAAGUCAGUAUAGACUGUUGUUGAGGUUUGUUUUGUGUAACCUACUUAUUUGGUCAAAAUUGUAAUUAGCAAAAAGAAGAAAUCAAUUUGUAUUUUUUUUUCUCCGGGUAGAAUACAUUUUUUGGGUCCAACUGAAAAAUUGUUUGUAAUAUCACUUCAGACACACAGUUAGCUAGCUGUGGGGCUAACAUUGUUAACUUACUUACUUAGUGUGAACAUUUGCCGUCACCUGGCCCCUUUAAAGACAGACAGCUACAGCCCGUUCCUUUUAUAAUGUGGGACAAACUCCGCGCAGUGUGUGAGAGAUAGCUACAACUCAGCAGGUGUCCAGUGGGAGUCGGUGCUAACAUUAGCAAACUAGUGCCGUGUCUCAAUUUGAGUUGAUGAACUAUUUUGAGUACAUAAGUACGUUCACACUGUCGAGUGUGGCAAAAUGCACUGCGAGUACCCGGAUGGUUCACGCCAAAAAGUUGAGUGGUGAAUGCUAGACACUUCUCACCCUCAGUGGUCGCCAUUUUCACUAUGUGGCGGAAGGGGCAACAUUUUCCGUCAGUAGGAGUAGUAACCGUUGGCGUAGACGGUGUAAUUUCCACCUAGCAUUAAAAAGAGAGGUCACACAGGCGAUUAAAAAGUAGAAGCAAGUUCAUUUUUGAUUAAUAUUGUGAAGAAAUCCAGUGAAAAAUAAGCGGGUGUCGACACAGCUUAGGAUAAACAACAUGAGUGGAAGCUAACUAUUUUGCUAACUUCGUCAUGAAUGUUGAAUGUUCGGUCAGAUGUCUUAAAGCACCAACCAGACAGACCCAGCGCUAUAUGUGGGUACAAAAAUGUUAACAUUUGUAGGAUAUAGUGUUACAAUGUACUCAGGUAAGUAGCACACCACAGAAGUUAACAGUGGGUCUCCUAGCAACAAAAGCUUCCUUAAAGUCAACUGUUGCCAAGGGCGACGCCGAUUCAAAGGCCUGAAGCUUAGACAAUAUUUACACUAAAAUGUCCAAAAUACAAAUGUUAUCCAUGUUUUGAAAAAUUGGGAAAUAUGCAUAAUAG